UUUGAGGGGAAUGUUGGCUGGCUCGAGGCUUUGCUAUCAUCUACUCAUCAUCAUCAUACAUGCAUCUCAUCAUCAUCAUGUAUGGAUGAUGAUCAUCAUGUAUGUAUGUAUGUAUGUAUGAUGAUGCAUAUUAAAAGAGGCUUCGGACCAGGCUUCAUUCCCCUCAAA
rfam:Beta vulgaris subsp. vulgaris Bvchr4.sca003.con0089.1, whole genome shotgun sequence.